AGAGUUUGAUCCUGGCUCAGAGUGAACGCUGGCGGCGUAGAUUAGGCAUGCAAGUCGAGCGAUCCCGCAAGGGAUAGCGGCAAAAGGGUGAGGAACACGUGAGUAACCUACCUCUAAGACAGGGAUAACUUCGCGAAAGCGAAGCUAAUACCUGAUAAGACCACGUAAACACAUGUUUGUGUGGUAAAAGAUGGCGACCCGAGCAAUCGGGGCUAUCACUAAGAGAGGGGCUCGCGUCCUAUCAGCUAGUUGGUGGGGUAAUGGCUCGCCAAGGCUAAGACGGGUAGCUGGUCUGAGAGGAUGGUCAGCCACACUGGGACUGAGACACUGCCCAGACUCCUACGGGAGGCUGCAGUCGAGAAUCUUUUGCAAUGGGCGAAAGCCUGACAAUGCGACGCCGUGUGAGCGAUGAAGGCCUUCGGGUUGUAAAGCUCUGUUAGCCUGGAAGAAAACCAGAGGUCAAAUAGACCAAUGGGUUGACGUUACAGGCAGAGGAAGCCACGGCCAACUCCGUGCCAGCAGCCGCGGUAAUACGGAGGUGGCAAGCGUUGUUCGGAUUUAUUGGGUGUAAAGGGCAUGUAGGUGGCUAAGCAAGUCAGAUGUGGAAUCCUCAAGCUCAACUUGAGAACUGCGUCUGAAACUACUUGGCUUGAGUAUGGGAGAGGAGAGUGGAAUUCCCGGUGUAAGGGUGAAAUCUGUAGAGAUCGGGAGGAACACCAAUGGCGAAGGCGGCUCUCUGGCCCAAUACUGACACUGAAAUGCGAAAGCUAGGGGAGCAAACAGGAUUAGAUACCCUGGUAGUCC
rnacentral:rRNA from 1 species